rnacentral:lncRNA from 1 species
AUGCCACAGAGCAGAGCCCUGGGCUGCAGGAGGAGGGCCUGGAGCACUCCUGGUUAGAAUUGUAUUUUCACAAUAAUGGAAAUGAAAGUGGUGUUCCAGCCUAAUUUCUACUGACAACGAUGACAUGGAAAAAGUACUACUGGAUGCCCAGCAAGAAGUCUGGAUGGAGUUGCUCCACGAGUUGUCACCGUGACAGCCCACCUCACUCACAGACACAAGGAACCAACAGAGCUUCUGAAACACCCAAGGCAUUGGAGAGAAAAACAGUUAUUAGUCUGUGGAAGAUUAUAUUGACAGAAAGAAAGAAAUUGAAAGCAUAUUGAAGGAAUACUCAGAUUAGAUAUGGGAUUGGUUAAGUGAGCAAGAAAAAAUUCCCCCCAAUGUUUCUCUUUAAAGAACCAAAGUGCACAGCUACUCUCAGCAUGAGAAACACACGCAUUCUGAAGAACAGAUACAUAUUCUAUCCAGAAUUUCUAGAGGUUUUUCUUCCAUCUUUGCUGCUGUCUCAUCUGCUGGCCAUUGGACUAGGGAUUUAUAUUGGAAGCCAUCUAACAACAUCCACCAGCAUCUUU